rnacentral:rRNA from 1 species
UUGAACGCUGGCGGCAGGCCUAACACAUGCAAGUCGAGCGGCAACGGAGAGUAGCUUGCUACUCUGCCGGCAAGCGGCGGACGGGUGAGUAAAGUCUGGGGAUCUGCCUUAUGGAGGGGGAUAACCAUUGGAAACGGUGGCUAAUACCGCAUGAUGUCGCAAGACCAAAGUGGGGGACUUCAAGGCCUCACGCCAUAAGAUGAACCCAAAUGAGAUUAGCUAGUAGGUGCGGUAAUGGCGUACCUAGGCGACGAUCUCUAGCUGGUCUGAGAGGAUGACCAGCCACACUGGAACUGAGAAACGGUCCAGACUCCUACGGGAGGCAGCAGUGGGGAAUAUUGCACAAUGGGCGGAAGCCUGAUGCAGCCAUGCCGCGUGUGUGAAGAAGGCCUCAGGGUUGUAAAGCACUUUCAGUGGGGAGGAAGGCGGUAAGAGUAAUAUGCUUAUCGAUUGACGUUACCCGCAAAAGAAGCACCGGCUAACUCCGUGCCAGCAGCCGCGGUAAUACGGAGGGUGCGAGCGUUAAUCGGAAUAACUGGGCGUAAAGGGCAUGUAGGCGGUAAGUUAAAUCAGAUGUGAAAUCCCCAAGCUUAACUUAGGAAGGGCAUUUGAGACUGGCUAGCUAGAGUUUUGUAGAGGGGGGUAGAAUUCCAGGUGUAGCGGUGAAAUGCGUAGAGAUCUGGAGGAAUAUCAGUGGCGAAAGCGGCCCCCUGGACAAAAACUGACGCUGAGGUGCGAAAGCGUGGGUAGCAAACAGGAUUAGAUACCCUGGUAGUCCACGCUGUAAACGAUGUCGAUUAGGAGGUUGUAACCUAGUGUUAUGGCGUCCGAAGCUAACGCGAUAAAUCGACCGCCUGGGGAGUACGGCCGCAAGGCUAAAACUCAAAUGAAUUGACGGGGGCCCGCACAAGCGGUGGAGCAUGUGGUUUAAUUCGAUGCAACGCGUAGAACCUUACCUACUCUUGACAUCCACGGAAUUGAGCAGAGAUGCUUAGGUGCCUUCGGGAGCCGUGAGACAGGUGCUGCAUGGCCGUCGUCAGCUCGUGUUGUGAAAUGUUGGGUUAAGUCCCGCAACGAGCGCAACCCUUGUCCUUUGUUGCCAGCGCGUGAUGGCGGGAACUCAAAGGAGACUGCCGGUGAUAAACCGGAGGAAGGUGGGGAUGACGUCAAGUCAUCAUGGCCCUUACGGCCUGGGCUACACACGUGCUACAAUGGUCGGUACAAAGGGUUGCCAAGCCGCGAGGUGGAGCUAAUCCCAUAAAACCGAUCGUAGUCCGGAUCGCAGUCUGCAACUCGACUGCGUGAAGUCGGAAUCGCUAGUAAUCGCGAAUCAGAAUGUCGCGGUGAAUACGUUCCCGGGCCUUGUACACACCGCCCGUCACACCAUGGGAGUGGGUUGCACCAGAAGUAGCUAGUCUAACCUUCGGGAGGACGGUUACCACGGUGUGAUUCAUGACUGGGGUG